rnacentral:rRNA from 1 species
CUUCUUUUUCCACCGGAGCUUGCUCCACCGGAAAAAGAGGAGUGGCGAACGGGUGAGUAACACGUGGGUAACCUGCCCUCAAGCGGGGGAUAACACUUGGAAACAGGUGCUAAUACCGCAUAAUAUUAAUGAACACAUGUUUAUUAUUUGAAAGGCGCUUUUGCGUCACUUGAGGAUGGACCCGCGGUGCAUUAGCUAGUUGGUGAGGUAACGGCUCACCAAGGCCACGAUGCAUAGCCGACCUGAGAGGGUGAUCGGCCACACUGGGACUGAGACACGGCCCAGACUCCUACGGGAGGCAGCAGUAGGGAAUCUUCGGCAAUGGACGAAAGUCUGACCGAGCAACGCCGCGUGAGUGAAGAAGGUUUUCGGAUCGUAAAACUCUGUUGUUAGAGAAGAACAAGGAUGAGAGUAAAAUGUUCAUCCCUUGACGGUAUCUAA